GACGAACGCUGGCGGCGUGCCUAAUACAUGCAAGUAGAACGCUGAAGGAGGAGCUUGCUCUUCUGGAUGAGUUGCGAACGGGUGAGUAACGCGUAGGUAACCUGCCUGGUAGCGGGGGAUAACUAUUGGAAACGAUAGCUAAUACCGCAUAACAGUAGAUGUUGCAUGACAUUUGCUUAAAAGGUGCAAUUGCAUCACUACCAGAUGGACCUGCGUUGUAUUAGCUAGUUGGUGGGGUAACGGCUCACCAAGGCGACGAUACAUAGCCGACCUGAGAGGGUGAUCGGCCAAACUGGGAAUGAGACACGGCCCAGACUCCUACGGGAGGCAGCAGUAGGGAAUCUUCGGCAAUGGACGGAAGUCUGACCGAGCAACGCCGCGUGAGUGAAGAAGGUUUUCGGAUCGUAAAGCUCUGUUGUAAGAGAAGAACGAGUGUGAGAGUGGAAAGUUCACACUGUGACGGUAUCUUACCAGAAAGGGACGGCUAACUACGUG
rnacentral:rRNA from 1 species